rnacentral:rRNA from 2 species
GGGGGUGCGUUUCGGAUUUAUUGGGCGUAAGCGAGCGCAGGCGGUUUUUUAAGUCUGAUGUGAAAGCCCUCGGCUUAACCGAAGAAGCGCAUCGGAAACUGGGAAACUUGAGUGCAGAAGAGGACAGUGGAACUCCAUGUGUAGCGGUGAAAUGCGUAGAUAUAUGGAAGAACACCAGUGGCGAAGGCGGCUGUCUGGUCUGUAACUGACGCUGAGGCUCGAAAGCAUGGGUAGCGAACAGGAUUAGAUACCCUGGUAGUCCAUGCCGUAAACGAUGAAUGCUAGGUGUUGGAGGGUUUCCGCCCUUCAGUGCCGCAGCUAACGCAUUAAGCAUUCCGCCUGGGGAGUACGACCGCAAGGUUGAAACUCAAAGGAAUUGACGGGGGCCCGCACAAGCGGUGGAGCAUGUGGUUUAAUUCGAAGCUACGCGAAGAACCUUACCAGGUCUUGACAUCUUUUGAUCACCUGAGAGAUCAGGUUUCCCCUUCGGGGGCAAAAUGACAGGUGGUGCAUGGUUGUCGUCAGCUCGUGUCGUGAGAUGUUGGGUUAAGUCCCGCAACGAGCGCAACCCUUAUGACUAGUUGCCAGCAUUUAGUUGGGCACUCUAGUAAGACUGCCGGUGACAAACCGGAGGAAGGUGGGGAUGACGUCAAAUCAUCAUGCCCCUUAUGACCUGGGCUACACACGUGCUACAAUGGAUGGUACAACGAGUCGCGAGAUCGCGAGGUCAAGCUAAUCUCUUAAAGCCAUUCUCAGUUCGGACUGUAGGCUGCAACUCGCCUACACGAAGUCGGAAUCGCUAGUAAUCGCGGAUCAGCACGCCCGGUUGAAUACGUUCCCGGGCCUUGUACACACCGCCCGUCACACCAUGAGAGUUUGUAACACCCGAAGCCGGUGGCGUAACCCUUUUAGGGACCGAGCCCUCUAAGGUGACACAAAAUUAUUAGUGAGAACUCAUAGGGG